rnacentral:misc_RNA from 1 species
CCCCCCUCACGCGCCCCGUUGCGCGCUGGUGUUGGGGCUCCUCCGCCUGGCGGAGGGCCCCGAAAGCGAGUGGCGGGCCCGGCUGGUUGGCUCCGAGCGCAGUACCGAACGCAAGUUCUCCCCUCGCCCGGACGCCCCGCCGGCGCCCUGCCGUCAAAACGCGCAUGACGUGCAACUCUUUUUUACAAGG